UCAACGGACUGCUUCCUGGUGGGUGCUUCCCUGCCCCUGGUUGGUCCUGUCACUGCACACAGCUGCCUGUGAGGAUGCUGUGACACCAGAACUGACCUCAGGCCCUGCUCUUCCAGGCCUGCUCAGUCCUCCAGAGCAGGAGUGGUAUUGGGUUUGGAGGCAGCUGAGACACAGACUGCGUUUGGAGCAUUGGAAGAGGCCGUAUCAGUGCUGGGUGUCCAGCUGUGUCAGAGGACAAGAUCACCACGCUCAAAUAGUCUUGACUACUGCUCUGAAGGAGAGCAGUGUGUGAGAGUGCUGCCUAAUAGGCUUCUGACAGAGCCAGCUGGGUGGACAGACAGAAAAAGAAGCAAAACCUAGAAUGAAAGCCCAAGCCAAAGAAACCUUCUGCAUCUAAACAAAGCCCUAUUUGCAACAGGCAGUGGCUGGUUCUAAUUUAGAUAAUCCAAAGUAGGUCACCUGCAGGAGUCUUCCAGACUUUCCAACUUAGUAACUCAGAUGGAUAAUAAAACAAUUUUUAGUUAAUGAGAGACCAUCAGAAAAAAAGAACUCCAGGAAGCUGUGAACUGAAGUAUCUCCUUACUGAAGACAGAAUGACACAUGGCAAGAACAGAUGGGUAAUGCUUCCGUGAUUAUCCUCGACCACUGGCUGAAAGAAAAAGCUGUCACAACACGGAGGGCUGUAUACAGAGCACAUAUCCCCUCAUUGAUAGUAAAAGGUUUUAUAUGCUAAGAGAUUAUAAAGAAAAAGGGAUGCUUUAAUGUGAUGGUGAAGGGAAUAAUUCUUCCAUUUUCCUUUACAUCCUGAAGUGGAGCAUACGCCAAGGUCCUGAACUAAAAUUAUCUCUCAGAAGGAAGGUGUAAUAUGCAUUUCACAUACAUAUUACAUAUUGCAUACAAGCUGAACAUAGAACCUGCUUUUAUUGUCUUUGGAUCCUGACACGGUAUGUUCAGUUGAUAAUUUAUAGACACUGUCACCGGAAUGAAACGUUGGUGUCAAAAAUUUGGCUUUUGCAUAUUCAUUGACACCAGAGUUUGCAUUUGUGCAUUUGUGAAGUAUGAAGUGGCAAAAUGAAACCAGAGUGGAUUAAGAAACGUUUGCUGGGAUCUCAUGUUUUACAGAACCACCAGAACGAAAGGCAUUUCUUGCAUGCAGUGGUCACAUCUCCAUUGACUUUAGUUCUGCCCCCGCACAUAAGAGAGAACCUGAAUUUUAUAACCCACUUGGAGAGUAGCCUGAUGUAAAAUGAGUACCUGGCAAAGAAUCUUGGUUUUGUUUAUGAAAAGUAAAAAAUGGAAGGGUGAAAAUCCAUGGUACAUUAUACCCAGGUGGUGAAGAACACACAUGUAAACCAUAAAAAUGAUUGAAUUGCAGAACAUGAAGUUAAUGGUGGUUCUGUGGUUCCAAAAAAAUCAAAAUACACUUCCUCUACCUUUUAAGUCUAGCAAUAUACCAGCGUUUAAAAACAAAAAGCAAUGUUUUGGGAACUUGUUGCAGAGCAGACAGUGACCUGUAGUCUGAGAUCGUGACAUUUUCAAGGAGUAAUUCCCUACCCUGUUUUGCUCUUUCAGAUUUGAUGCUCAGACCAGUAAGACUGCCAGACUCCCAGGGAAAAGGUCUAUGUCCUCCAUAUGCACUGAAACGAUUAGGAGUGGUGUGUUGUUCUGGCUAGUGAUGGAAGGAAAAGAAAAGAAAGAAUUUGUCACUUCAGGGAAGGAGCCCAAACUUCAGAAGACAUUGCUACUGCUGCUGCAGAUUACUCAUUGAACACUGCUCAUGGCCUAUUUCCAAUCUUUUCUAUUCCUAAGGCACAUUCCUUAGGUGCUAUGAUUUUUUUGAUUUCAUAGGAAUAUACACAAAUUCGCUAUUUGUUCUGUAUUCUUCACAGACUUUCUUUUAAGACUAUAUUAGAGAUACCCAUUCUUAGGCAAAUCAGUUCAUUCACCUUUUUCCCCUUCAACCUGAUAACAUACAUCCGAAAUCUAAAUUUUGAUGUGAUAAGGACAUGACUGUUUUUAAGAAAAAUGCAAAUCUUCACUCUGAAAUAACUUAGUCUUCCACUGAUUACAGAAUGUGCUUCUAAACCGCCUAUGAGUCAGGCUGUGAGUUGGAGUUCAGAUAAGCCUGCAGUGUUUGUUCACCAGAUGGACCAUAAGCUCUGCAAAGUAGAGCAAAGGAUAUUGCUUAUUAACACUGCUCUCAACUCCACUUAUUUCUUUGUGCAAAGUCUGGUUACUUGAUGCAAUUUUAGACUGUAUUUACACUGUUAGGAGGAGGAAACAAUUUUUUUGGUAACAGGAUAGGUAAAUCUAGCAAAGUAGAUCACACUAAAAUGGAACUGAGUAUGGUUCUUUUUUUACAUCAUUUUAAGUAGGCAAGAUUGAUACCCUCCAUCUCUCAAACACACCCACACUGAAUUUACAUACCUGUGCAGUAGCAAAAAAUAUUUAAAUCAAUUAUCUCUUGGGAUUUUAGAGCAAAUUAGCCAAGUCACAGUUGUUACCCUUGCUUAAAACACCAUCUCUUUGACAGUUAUGUGCAACCAACAUAAUACUUAUGUAAGAAUCAAAUCUGUUUUUUCUCUUAUAUACUUUGUGCUAGAUACUAAUUCUCACCUAACAUGGGCAACAUGGGGAAUUUUCAGUGGUAACUCUCUUAAGUGUCCUCUGUGUGACCUGAUUAAAUAUCUUCUGAUGCAACACAGCUCAAUCAAGCUGCCAUUAUUCAUAAAUGUUAUAAUAAGAAAAUUAAUUUAAUGGUUUUAACUUUUAUGCAAUUUCUGAUUUAGUUUGUUCUUUGGAUUGGUACAGUUCACUUCUUCAGUUUCUGUGAUUUUUUUUUUUCAUAUUCUCAAGAUGCUCAGCCUUGCCCUUUUUACUUUUUUGUUUGAAUCACACAAGAAAAAAAAGACAUUAUUAGCUAAAUUCCUUCUAUCUGGCUGUUUUCUUUAGCACAGAAGAAGGAUGUUUUGAGCAGUUAGUGGUCAUUGGUUAUAUUGCAGUUUUAAAAGUGAAUGCCAUACCUACUGCACUGUCCUUUCCAGAUUUUACAUCUCUAAAUAUGGGGAAAGGAGGAGGUUGAAGGAGAAGAAGUCUGCUCCUCUGUCUGCUCUGCUUUUUCUGUCAGUGCAGAAGUGUCUCAUGCUGGGGCUCCCACCCAUACACAGGGCUGACUUUACACUGAAGGCUCAGAUCUUUAUGGCCUAUAAAUUAUUGUGGUUUGGAUACAAAUCUUCUCUCCAGAAGGGCUUUCAGUGUGAGACUGAGCAUGCUGUUCCUCACUGCCCUAUCAGUCACAGUAAUUAUAUUACAGAGAUUAGCAACAUCCAGAGACAUUUUCCAGCAUAAAAAUUUCCCCAUAAAAUCUGGAGGAAAUUUUCCAAUAGGUCAUAAAAAUUUUAAGAACCAUGGAUCACAAGUUCAUCACAAUUACUGCUGUGCUCCUUUUAUAGAAAGCAGUGUUGUCCUGUGCUGAAGUAUUGCCUGCCUUGGAUGUUGCUGUUAGGGCUUGUAGCCAUUUUAGGGUAUCCAUGGGAAUGUGUCUCCCAUUUCCCAGUGAGGUGUGCAGGACCGGAAUCAGGUCCUGAGGCUCUUCAGAGCUCUUGGUCAUUUGGCCUGUUCAGAGUCUGUUUCUUUUCUGGCACCAUGAGCACUUCCUGCCAUCUACAAGCCCAAGGGAAGGCCACAGGGAGCAACCACUUGCUAAGACCACAACUUCCUUUUGAAGAGAAAAGCAUUUAAUCCCAAGUGGAAGAUGCUUUUAUCUUGUAUUUGUCAGCAAAUUUGCUUGACUGUGUUUAUAAUGCCCAAUUAUCUGAUAGUUUGGAAUACAAAAUUAUCCAUCAUCUUCCUGAGCUGUGCAGAGUCUGUCAGAAUAUUCAGGAACACUUUGAGUCUUUUUCAUUUCUUUGUUCUAACAGGUCACUUCACUGUAUUGUGGGACCAGCAAAUCUGAUGCAUGUGCAACUGGUGUGGAAGCCUGACACUGUCAAAAUUUGUUAUCACAGGCUCUCUGCCAUCACCCCAGCUGGCAAAAAUGGGACACGGUUCCAGUUCAUGAACAGGAGGUCAGCCAGACGAUGCUCUGCUGUCACACACAGAGGAGCCUUUCCGGGCUGACUUUCCUGGAAGUUACUAAGGAUGUGUUCUGACCUCUCUGUUGUAGAGACACACCUCGCAGUGAAUAUGCAGAGUGUGGCACUCUUUGAAACUGACACUUUAUACUUCAUCUGCUUGUGAAAUGUUGCAACGAAGGAUAGCUCCUGUAAAAUUUCAUUUCUAGCCUCAUUGGAUCAUGAGGAAAA